rnacentral:rRNA from 1 species
AACAAACGCNGGCGGCGUGCUUAACACAUGCAAGUCGAACGUGAAAGUUGGCUUCGGCCGAUGAGUAAAGCGGCGCACGGGUGAGUAACGCGUGGAUAAUCUGCCCUUCAGUUGGGAAUAACUCAUCGAAAGGUGAGCUAAUACCGAAUAAUACUGCUUGACCAUGGUCAGGUAGUCAAAGAUAGCCUCUGCUUGCAAGCUUUCGCUGAAAGAUGAGUCCGCGUACCAUUAGCUAGUUGGUGGGGUAAUGGCCUACCAAGGCGACGAUGGUUAGCUGGUCUGAGAGGAUGAUCAGCCACACUGGAACUGAGACACGGUCCAGACUCCUACGGGAGGCAGCAGUGAGGAAUCUUGCGCAAUGGGGGAAACCCUGACGCAGCAACGCCGCGUGAGUGAGGAAGGUCUUCGGAUCGUAAAGCUCUGUCGGGUGGAAAGAAAUGUAUGGGGUUAAUAGCCUUCAUACUUGACGGUACCACCAAAGGAAGCACCGGCUAACUCCGUGCCAGCAGCCGCGGUAAUACGGGGGGUGCAAGCGUUGUUCGGAAUUAUUGGGCGUAAAGAGCGUGUAGGCGGCUUGUCAAGUCAGAUGUGAAAGCCCUGGGCUUAACCCAGGAAGUGCAUUUGAAACUGGCAGGCUAGAGUAGGGGAGAGGGAAGUGGAAUUCCUGGUGUAGAGGUGAAAUUCGUAGAUAUCAGGAGGAACACCGGUGGCGAAGGCGACUUCCUGGCCCUAUACUGACGCUGAGACGCGAGAGCGUGGGUAGCAAACAGGAUUAGAUACCCUGGUAGUCCACGCCGUAAACGAUGUUCACUAGGUGUUGGGGGUAUUGACCCUCUCAGUGCCGGAGCUAACGCAUUAAGUCCACCGCCUGGGGACUACGGCCGCAAGGUUAAAACUCAAAGGAAUUGACGGGUCCCCGCACAAGCAGCGGAGCGUGUGGUUUAAUUCGUUGCUACGCGAAAAACCUUACCCGGGUUUGACAUACAGGUGGUAGGGAUCUGAAAAGUGACCGACCCUUCGGGGAGCCUGUACAGGUGCUGCAUGGCUGUCGUCAGCUCGUGUCGUGAGA